rnacentral:rRNA from 1 species
CCUGCGGGUGGCAGCAGUGGGGAAUAUUGGACAAUGGGCGAAAGCCUGAUCCAGCCAUGCCGCGUGUGUGAAGAAGGCCUUCGGGUUGUAAAGCACUUUCAGUGGGGAAGAAAGCCUUGGGGCUAAUACCCUCGAGGAAGGACAUCACCCACAGAAGAAGCACCGGCUAACUCCGUGCCAGCAGCCGCGGUAAUACGGAGGGUGCGAGCGUUAAUCGGAAUUACUGGGCGUAAAGCGCGCGUAGGCGGUCUGAUAAGCCGGUUGUGAAAGCCCCGGGCUCAACCUGGGAACGGCAUCCGGAACUGUCAGGCUAGAGUGCAGGAGAGGAAGGUAGAAUUCCCGGUGUAGCGGUGAAAUGCGUAGAGAUCGGGAGGAAUACCAGUGGCGAAGGCGGCCUUCUGGACUGACACUGACGCUGAGGUGCGAAAGCGUGGGUAGCAAACAGGAUUAGAUACCCCGGUAGUC